UGACUUGAGAUUAGGACACUAGCCAUUGAGACAACUCUUAUUUUCAUCUUUCAUUAAUUCCUCUGCCUGCCCUGUAAUCCCAUCUACCCGAGUCAGCCAGUCUUGAACAAUAGGUCUGAUUUCAUCCCCACUUCUAAUAGCUGCAUCAAUAGUUAUCUGAAGGUCACCCCUCACACGCCCCAAUUCCUGAAUCUUCUUGUCGAGUUCAUCCAUGUGGCUGCGGUAGCAAAACAGAUAACUAAGCUGGUGUCCAAUUGGAGCAACCAAGUACUCUGAAACUUUUGCAGCAACGG
rnacentral:lncRNA from 1 species